AUACAAUGGAGGAAGCAGGCCAUGACUAAGACCCCAAGGAUGAAGAAUGGAGAGCCCUGACCGUCCUCCUGGCCUCCAGUCAUUUCCCCACUGAAGAUGGCCGUACCCUCUAGCCUGGGAGGACCAUGGCCCAACAAUGGCAGUGGGAGAGAAGAUGACUCUGUGGAGGACACUCUCCGUUAUCUGUGAUGACAUACACCAGCCCCCGAACAAUUUAACCUCAAGCUGCCCUCUGCAAGACUUCGGUAGCACUGGACUUCCCUCAUUCCUGGUAGGCAGAGGUUGUUAGCCAUCAGCCUGGAAGAUCUGAAGGAAAAUUUGGCUUUGGGUAAAGUCAAAGGGGAUGGCUCUCAGAGAUAAGGCCAGUUCAUGAGAAGUAAGCAGGGCUUUGCUACCUGUGCAGGGCAGAGCUGCCCUGGGCUGGGGGGAGUUCUGAUGUCAACAUCUCUGGAGGCAGAUGACAACUUCAGAAGAGGCAAAAUUUCCCCAGGAGAAAAGAAAACAGGAGGUCUUCAGUCAACAUGGAGUGCCAGCACAGGAGGAGGCACCAGCCAAGCUCAUGGUAUACCUACAGCGCUUCAGGCCUCUGGACUAUCAGCGCCUGCUAGAAGCAGCCAGUUCUGGUGAGGCCACAGGGGACUCAGCAUCCUGACAACAGCGUUCACUUUCC
rnacentral:lncRNA from 1 species